rnacentral:rRNA from 1 species
AUUGAACGCUGGCGGCAGGCCUAACACAUGCAAGUCGAGCGAGCGGCGGAGGGGUGAGGAAUAUAUGGGGGACUGGCCGAGAGAGGGGGAGAACGACUGGAAACGGUAGAUAAGACCGCGUACUAUCGGAGGAACGCAGAUGGGAUUAGCUAGUGGGUGAGGUAACGGCUCACCCAGGCGACGAUCCCUAGCUGGUCUGAGAGGAUGAUCAGCCACACUGGAACUGAGACACGGCCCAGACUCCUACGGGAGGCAGCAGUGGGGAAUAUUGCACAAUGGGCGCAAGCCUGAUGCAGCCAUGCCGCGUGUAUGAAGAAGGCCCUCGGGUUGUAAAGUACUUUCAGUCGGGAGGCGUUACCGACAGAAGAAGCACCGGCUAACUCCGUGCCAGCAGCCGCGGUAAUAC